rnacentral:rRNA from 1 species
GUGGGGAAUAUUGGACAAUGGGCGAAAGCCUGAUCCAGCCAUGCCGCGUGAGUGAUGAAGGCCUUAGGGUUGUAAAGCUCUUUCAGUAGGGAAGAUAAUGACGGUACCUACAGAAGAAGCCCCGGCUAACUUCGUGCCAGCAGCCGCGGUAAUACGAAGGGGGCUAGCGUUGUUCGGAUUUACUGGGCGUAAAGCGCACGUAGGCGGAUUGGUCAGUUAGAGGUGAAAUCCUGGAGCUCAACUCCAGAACUGCCUUUAAUACUGCCAGUCUAGAGUCCAGAAGAGGUGAGUGGAACUCCUAGGGUAGAGGUGGAAUUCGUAGAUAUUAGGAAGAACACCAGUGGCGAAGGCGGCUCACUGGUCUGGUACUGACGCUGAGGUGCGAAAGUGUGGGGAGCAAACAGGAUUAGAUACCCGGGUAGUCC